GAUGAACGCUGGCGGCGUGCCUAAUACAUGCCAGUCGAGCGAACGGACGAGAAGCUUGCUUCUCUGAUGUUAUCGGCGGACGGGUGAGUAACACGUGGAUAACCUACCUAUAAGACUGGGAUAACUUCGGGAAACCGGAGCUAAUACCGGAUAAUAUUUUGAACCGCAUGGUUCAAAAGUGAAAGACGGUCUUGCUGUCACUUAUAGAUGGAUCCGCGCUGCAUUAGCUAGUUGGUAAGGUAACGGCUUACCAAGGCAACGAUGCAUAGCCGACCUGAGAGGGUGAUCGGCCACACUGGAACUGAGACACGGUCCAGACUCCUACGGGAGGCAGCAGUAGGGAAUCUUCCGCAAUGGGCGAAAGCCUGACGGAGCAACGCCGCGUGAGUGAUGAAGGUCUUCGGAUCGUAAAACUCUGUUAUUAGGGAAGAACAUAUGUGUAAGUAACUGUGCACAUCUUGACGGUACCUAAUCAGAAAGCCACGGCUAACUACGUG
rnacentral:rRNA from 1 species